UUUUAUUGAAGCUUCGGCAGAUUUAGCUGGUUUCUAGUGGCGGACGGGUGAGUAACGCGUGGGUAACCUGCCUUAUACAGGGGGAUAACAACCAGAAAUGGUUGCUAAUACCGCAUAAGCGCACAGGACCGCAUGGUCCGGUGUGAAAAACUCCGGUGGUAUAAGAUGGACCCGCGUUGGAUUAGCUAGUUGGCAGGGUAACGGCCUACCAAGGCGACGAUCCAUAGCCGGCCUGAGAGGGUGAACGGCCACAUUGGGACUGAGACACGGCCCAGACUCCUACGGGAGGCAGCAGUGGGGAAUAUUGCACAAUGGGGGAAACCCUGAUGCAGCGACGCCGCGUGAAGGAAGAAGUAUCUCGGUAUGUAAACUUCUAUCAGCAGGGAAGAUAGUGACGGUACCUGACUAAGAAGCCCCGGCUAACUACGUGCCAGCAGCCGCGGUAAUGCGUAGGGGGCAAGCGUUAUCCGGAUUUACUGGGUGUAAAGGGAGCGUAGACGGACUGGCAAGUCUGAUGUGAAAGGCGGGGGCUCAACCCCUGGACUGCAUUGGAAACUGUUAGUCUUGAGUGCCGGAGAGGUAAGCGGAAUUCCUAGUGUAGCGGUGAAAUGCGUAGAUAUUAGGAGGAACACCAGUGGCGAAGGCGGCUUACUGGACGGUAACUGACGUU
rnacentral:rRNA from 1 species